CCUACGGGCGGCAGCAGUAGGGAAUAUUGCUCAAUGGGGGAAACCCUGAAGCAGCAACGCCGCGUGGAGGAUGAAGGUUUUAGGAGUGUAAACUCCUGUUGGUAGAGAAGAGGAUGACGGUAUCUAACGAAUAAGCACCGGCUAACGCCGUGCCAGCAGCAGCGGUAAUACGGAGGGUGCAAGCGUUACUCGGAAUCACUGGGCGUAAAGAGUGCGUAGGCGGGGUAAGAAGUCAGAUGUGAAAUCCUGUAGCUUAACUACAGAACUGCAUUUGAAACUGUUACUCUGGAGUGUGGGAGCGGUAGGUGGAAUUCUUGGUGUAGGGGUCAAAUCCGUAGAGAUCAAGAGG
rnacentral:rRNA from 1 species